AUAUCACAUUAAAAAUGCUAAGCUCGACCGACUGUCCAUAAAGCAAGUGACAAAGGGCUUGGUGGUUGGUACCCGAGACCCAACUUCGAAUCCUAGUUGAUUCAUAUUUCUAUCUAAGUUUAUUUCUAAAUAAAAUAAACGAAGCGGGUAGCGUGCUACCUAUCUCUCUCAAAAAAAAAAAAAAUGCUAAGCUUGACUAUAUUUUCUUUUGGUAAAGCAUUUUUUAGUACAUCAGUGGUGAUUUUGUAUAGUAAAUCCAUCUGCCCUUUUUUUUUCUCAACCGAUGGUUUAAAAGACUUAUUUUUUUGAUAAAUAAAUAAUAUGCUAUUCGUUUCGUUUAUUUCAUUUAGAAAUAAAUAUAGCCGGAAAUAUGAAUUAACUAAAAUUUAAAUUUAGAAUCCCAAAUAUCAAUCAACAAAUUGUAUUUUUUUGUCACUUACAUUAUGUACGGUCGGCAUGGUUUAAAAGACUUUGCUGCAAUAAUGAGUUGCUGCUGCAUUUUGAUUUUCUGCUGUAUGAGCUUACUGCAGAUUUGAUUCGUGCCAGAAACUAAUUAAAACUUCCUACAGCUUUAGGUAUUUGAAAUAUUAUUGCUAUAAAUGUAAACUAUUGAUAAAGUAUUAAUAUAAAAUAUAAAAAAAAUAAAUAAAUAAAGUAUUAAUAUAAAAUAUAAUUAUAAUAUAAUAUUGAAGAUAUUUAAUUGAUAAAUACAGUAGGAAUUGGAUUCAGCGAUACUGCUUCUCUAACUAGGAGACAACAUGUGGAGGGACAAUCACUCUUCAAAAAAAAAAAACAACACAAAAGAGUAAUAAUGGUUUCGUCCCUUUGACAAGACGCUACAUAAGGCAAUGGGGCUUCUUAUCCGUGGUACGAUCCGCGACCCGCUAUCGAAAGAACAUGGCCUCGAACAAGUCCCAUCAGGAGGGCCCCACCCUCUGACAAGUGGUGAUUGGUGAACACUAUUCUAGUUUGUUUCAAAAUUUCAAUCAAUAUACUGUUGAACCCAACUAUGAAUUCGCCAAAAGGGACAGCGCAUCCGCAAGAAAAGGAAAAAUGCUUUGCUCACUCUCAAAUUAUUAUUUUUACAAAAACCUUCAAAAAAAUUUUCUGUGAUUUCGUACUUUUUUAUUUUAAUAUUUUAUAAUUUAAAGUGUAUCAUGUUAGUACCCUAUGAUUUCGCAUUUUUUCACUUUAGUAUUCUAUGGUUUAAAGUGUAUCAAGUUAGUAUUUUGUAGUUUUUUUUUUGUAUUAAACUAGUAUCAUGUGGUUUUAUUUUUCUCCGAAUAAAAUAUUAAACCACAAGAUACUAAAGUGAGAAAGUGCGAAACCACAGGGUACUAACUUGAUACACUUUAAACUAUAGGUUACUAAAGUGAGAAAGUGCGAAACCACAGUGUACUAACUUGGUAUACUUAAAACCGCAGGGUACUAAAGUGAGAAAAAAUGAAACCACAAGGGGAGUUUUUGAAGUUUUUCCUUAUUUUUAUUAUUAAUUUUCUUUCUGCGAGUUCAAAUAGUACUCUGGAUUUUCCGUAUAAAUUAAUUUAUUGAGCCCUUAUUUGGUAUAUAUAGUUAUUAAUUUUUUAUUUUCUAAAUUUAUAUAAUUUAAUAUAUUGAAAAAAAAUUAUUAAUUAUUAUUGUAGUCGGUUAUUUUAAAACACAUCAAACUAAGUGAUUGAUGAUAAAUUAUUUUUAAAAAAAAUUCAAAUUAGAAAGUUUUUAUAUUUUGUUGCCAAGUAAGGAUUGCAUAUAAUUUGCUGUCUGUUCAUACAUUUUUUGACACUCAAAUUUUUUUCUAAAAAUAAAAAAUAAAUAAGGCACAAACGAAGUUUCUUGCUUAUAAUAUAUGUUAAGAUAUUAACAAUUCAAAACAAAAUAAAUAUUAGUUUAUUAAUAUAUCAAUAAUUCAGAUAGAGUAUUUAUAGGGAUCCAAAAUAUUUGAGAAACAAAAUAUAUAAUAAUUCAAUAAAAUAACAGGUCAGUGUCAGAAGAAUCUUUUCUACAGGGGUUUUUCUAAAUUAUUCUGGGCCCCGGUUGGUGGGAGGAAAAAACAAAAAAAAAAAAAAAAAAAAAAUCUUCGUACCAGUUAUAGUGUACAAGAUAUAUUCCAAAUCAAUUUCAUUGUGCCUAAUGAGUAUGAUUGGAUAUUGUUUUGUAAUUAUGAUAAAAAAAAAAAAAAAAAUCCCCAUGUCUGCAAUUUGAUCUGAUGGAACCCUCCCUUUGAUAAAUGACAACCACUAUAGUCCGUGGCCCACGAUUUAUACAUUAUAAAAAUGAUUUUUAAAAAAAUUAAAAUAAGCCGUAAAGUUGGAAAAGUUGUUGCUGGAAAUGCUGAAAGAAACCUCCUGUUUUGUCCUUUUCUCAUCAAGUUGUGGGAGAUGGGAGAUGUGGGAGAUGAAGAUAAUAAACAUAUGAAUGCAGUAGUACUUGAUAGAAAAAAUUCGUUCAUUCUCAUCUACACUGCAACUGCAAUAGAGUACGUAGUCAUCCAUUAAUGAUUCAUCAGUGAAGUGUUCAAACUGAUACAGAUCUAUCCUGCCAUUCUUUAAUUCUCUUCUUCACCUCUCACUUGACUCCUGAGCCCCUCUCUUGGCUACUGCUGGAUCCGAGGGAUUGAUUGUUACAUAACAUUCCAACUUCUCCGGAUCUCCCUUGAAUUUCUAGAACUGCGAUCGCCACCGCUCUGAGCCCAAAUGAUCAAGGAAAUUUGCGGCGGAGGAGAAUUAGUUAUCUUCUAAUAUACCUCAGUCAGAAGGCUGAAAAAUGACUCUGCGCCGGUUGAUGAAUUAUUUGUAGCUCUGCCGCCGCAUUGCAGUUGCUGUCGUCGGGAACCAAGGUCCUGUUAGAAAGGGAGCCACAAUUUUGUGAAUGCCAUCCUCACAUACCUACUGAAAAAUUGAGUAACAAGACGCAGCUAAAAUUAUAAGGGAGACCAAAUUCGAUCAUAGGGACAACACUGCUUAAAUAAAUAUUUGCUUUUGUGAUGAAAGGUUACAUAUACAGAGAGAGAGAGAAAGAAUUGAGCUCUCUAUACUUUUAAAAGCACAAGUCGUUGGCGCUUGUAGGUUUGACCUUUAGAUGAAGAUUUGUACGUAGAAUUAGUAUAAUAGUGGUCCCGUAGGACAUAUAUAUAUAGAGAGAGAAAGAGAGAGAGAGAGAGAGUUCAGCUAUUAUUCUAUCGAUAGUACCAAGCUUUUGGUACUAUCGAAUUUUCUGCCGUUAGAUCUAUCAUUUGAUUAUUUCCACCCAUUAGAUUAUACUAUUCAACAAACCAUCUACUCAAUCCUAGAGGACCACUAUCAUCCUAUCCACUUAUCCUUUCAUCCAAUGGCCGAAAACUGAAUAGCACCAAGUGUUUGAUACUAUAAUAGUAUAUAAGCGUAAUUCUAUAUAUAUAGAGAGAGAGAAAGAGAAAGAGAGAUAGCAGGACUGCUAUGCUCCUAGAAGCACGGAGGCCUUCGUGCCCCUAAGCCAUUUUCGAUGAUAGAAUUUUCGAAUCGAUGAUCGGCUCCGCUAGACUUGAUCUAGCAUAUUUGAAAUUUCUAGAAAAUAAUUUUUACAAUUUUUCGAUAUCAUUUACCUAGUAGUCGAAAGAGGAUUCAAAAUUAAUAAGUUUUAGUGGUUAAUAUCUACCAUUUUCAAGUUUAACGGUGUAGAAACAUUGAAAUCAGAUAAAAUUUUGAUUCAAAAUUUUUUACACUAUCUACAACAAGAUCAAUAUCUCUGAUCGAAAAUUUUAAUACUAUAUCACCACUUUCUAUAGGAUUUUUAUUUUCAGCCGUUGAUAUUAAAUCCUUUUGAGUGCUAGGUAAAUAAUAUUGAAAAAUCACAAAAAUUAUUUUCUAUAAACUUCAAAUAUACUAGAUUAAGUCUAACAAAGCCGAUUAUUGAUUUGGAAUUCCACUAUCGAAAAUGGCUCAGGGAAACGGAGGCCUCUGUGCUCUUAAGAGCACAGCAGUCCUACUAUAUAUAUAUAUAUGUGUGUGUGUGUGUGUGUGUGAGAGAGAGAGAGAGAGAGAUAUAUAUAUGUGAAAGCAAUAAAGAAAGAGACUAAGAACUUUUGAUCUGACUGUGGUCCAUUACUUCCUUGUUGCAUAUUUUGGACCCAGAUUGAGCAGUGCAUUUAUGUCAAAGUAGCCAUCAUUCUUGUUUGAUGUUUGACAGGUAAGAGUGUGGUCCUCCAUUCACCACAUCCUUUGAGUGGGUCAUAUAUCAAUUAAGAUAGCAUUAAAUGAGUGCUUCCAUGAGUUGACACAAUCGACCCAAUAAUACGUCUAUUGCAGGUGGAUCUACUGAUUGACAAGCAUACAUGGUACCACCGUAGACCAAAAUAAAGCAGAUUGUAUCAGAUGAUAACCGUGAAAGUAGUGCUUACUCUCGCGGGCGUGUAGCCCAGAGGGAACUGAGGGCACGGAAGCGGCUGUGGUACUCCCCAAUUGCUAAUAAACACCUCGCGGCUUGUCUGAUUGUUAAUAUCCGGUGCAGCUGAUGAACAGUUUGCUGUCUCAAAUUAUCAGCCUGCAAGAGUUAUAAAAUAAGUCAGUUUGGUUGACAAAACUAGUUCGAGUCCGAAUAUGCAUCAGUUAUAAUAAAUUCUAUUCAUUUUGAAUUGGUGUGAGUGAUGUUGUAUUAAGAAAUGCCUUUCUGACUCAGAUGGAAAAGCUAUUUACUUCUUGAGGAAAUGGCUUCAAGAGAGAGUAAUUAAGGUUCGAUAAAUUAAGAUUAAAAGGUGGUUGAAGAAUAGUCAGCGCCUUAAGACAGCGAAAAGCUGAGAUAAUAAACAUUGUGUAUUUGUGUAUGCAUAUAUAAUUGAUAUAUAAUAAAUUAUAUUGAUAGAUAUAUUUGAUAAAUAAAUAAACUGAUAGGCAGAUAGAUAUAAAUAUGAAGGCAUCAUUUGAAUUAACGGGUGGAGCUUGUCAUGUUCAUGGAAUUUGGACACUUUCAAAGAUGGGUAUGAAAACAACUCAAAGAGGGUUUGGUUGUUGGGUCCUUUUCUUAGUACUGUUUAGAGACAGCGACUUCUGAACAUUCUGCAAAGCCAUACAACAUCAAAAGGUAGCUUAAUUAAUGCUGGCUUCACUGGGGGAGGCUAGAAAGUAAGUCUGGAAGAGCAGAUGGCUGGUGAUUGGUGAAGGUCAGCGAAAGAAAGAGCAGGAAAAAAAAAAAAAAAAAGAAUAUUUUAAGAAGCACUCAUGAGCAGUAAAAAAAAACUUUUUUUUAUUUUUUUGAAAGAUAGGUAACACGCUACCCGCUUCGUUUAUUUCAUUUAGAAAUAAACUUAGCUAGAAAUGUGAAUCAAAUAGGAUUCGAACUUGGGUCUCAGGUACCAACCAUCGAGCCCUUUACCACUUGCUCUAGGAACGGUUGGUGCAGUAAAAAAAAACUAAACUGAGCCGAACCAUUAUAGUGUUUCAAGGCUAAGUCAAUUAAGCCAUCGCUUGGCAACAGAGAGGGUGUGGGUUCGAGUCUCAUAUAAUCUGGGGAACAGUGUAAGGGCCAAGCUCUUAUAAUUCUACUAUAAAAAAAAAAAAAACCUGUGGUCUUUUUCUCUAGCAAAGCGCAUAGGAAAAACAAUAAAGUUGUUAUCUACAGAUAACAUCUUCAAAACAUAUGAUUUAGGAGUAUGCUAAUUAAGAGAGCACAAUGGCAUAUUAGAACAAGAAAAAGAAAAAAAAAACACAAUAUUUUGAUUCAGUCUAAAUUAUCUAUUGAACCUUGCAUUAAUUGUAAGACCAUAAGCAGUCUAAAAGUGUCCAUUAUACCUGUAAAUGUGGAUGUACCUCUUAAGACGUACCCAUUGGUAUUGAAUAAUUCAGACCGAAAAUUUACUGUUCAAGUUGAUUAGAAAACAAUAUAGGUAACCACUCCCAUGACAUUUAAGUCCAACAUCUAUUGACCAGCUAAAUGAAAUAAACAAAGCAGGUAACAUGCUACCUAUCUCUCAAAAAAAACAUCUAUUGAACAGCAUAAUUUGAUAGUAAUGUAGUUUUCGACAACCAGUGCUCAUGAAUAUGAUGGUUCGAGGAAUACAAGAUUCCAUGUGAUCAUGAAAAUGAUGGUUCGAGGAAUGCAAGAUUCUAUGCGAUCAUGAAUAUGAUGGUUCGAUGGACGCUAGUUUUUAAGAGAAAUGUGAAUAUAGGUCUUAAAUCUAGUGAUUAAGUUUAUGUCACGUAUAUAGAAAAUAGGGUAGAGAGAAUGAAAGGACCUGUCUCACAAACCCCUCGAGGUUGGCGAGCUUCUCCAAUGCAAUGGCCAUGUGGCCCAUAUAGUUGCCGACGUCGAUGCAUUCGAUAAGAGAUCCGCUCGCCACUGUUUCAGAGAGAGACUGGUGGAGCUGCUCUAAGCCCUGUGAGAGAGCUUCUUCUGCCUGUUGUGACGACUGCUGCAGGUUGCAGAUCCCUACUAGUUGUUGGUCAGUUAGAGGAUCUAAUUGAGGUAUUAAUAUCUGCAUCAACAUAAAUAACCACAGAAAUAUUAUUAACAUCGAAUUCUGAAGCUGGCCUCCUUUUUUUUUUUUUUUUUGAAGCGAAGAUGCAGGCAAUGUACGAUCAUGGAAAAACUAUUUACAAAGGACAAAUAUGUUGGCGAAAUUUAUGGUUUUGGAAACAGAUUUUUCUUUUUCUUUUUUUUUUUGGGCAUCAAAUAGCGUGGUUUUAUCUAGAAAAGCUUCUGAUAGGAGUCACUAAUUAAUAGAAUGUUUCACUCCUUGCCGAGAUCAAUAUUAUAUAACUUUUGGCUGAAACCCUUACGCUGGGACCGAACCUGACAGGAUUUUUCAGAAGCAGAUAACACAUUAGUUGAGAUUUAUAAUUGAUUCAUUUCUUGUUGGCAACUGUAGUUGAGGGGUUUAACGGAAAAAACUCGAUGCUCGUGGUAUUGUUUCUAAACGACUAAUGGUCGGAACUUGGAAUUAAGGGCGUUCAACCAAAUGGUUAAUCAAAUAUAGUGAUGAUGGUUGAUGUUGGACCUUGAGGAGUUCGGAGGGUCUGAACCCGCCCAUCCAGAGGAAACACCGCUCCGCAGGCGUCUUCCACAUCCCAGUAAUGAGGUGAAACACAUCGGAUUUUGCUGCAAUACCUUUCAGCCGGAAGAUCUCGUCGUAAUGUGUAAGACAUCCAUCUACUAUGACUCUCAGUUCUCCAUCAGUCAGGUGGGUUUGCAAGACUCCUCUUAGCUCAGUCAUAUGUUUAUAGUUCUCGUCCAACCAUCGAGCGUAUUCCAUAUCAAAUAUCGCCGCACCUACACAUAAAUACAUUAAUGUGAAGUAUAAGGUAGAAUUACAUUUUUUAUUAUUAUUAUUUUUUCGUCGUAGAAAGUUUUGAUGAAAAUGAACAUAGUAUGUACCAGAGCUGAUAUUUCCACCUGCAGAACUUCCCCCUAAGAUGAGACCCUAAAGAAAACAAUGUUUAAAUAAAGUUGUAUACUGUAAACAGUGAUACAAACGUGGUUCGAAAGGCAAAAUAUUUGAACUUUAUAUACUCUCCUUUAUACCUGCGAGCGCGCUCUCUGAAGAUCCUGUUCUAACUGAGCAAGCUUUAUUCUGCUGGAUUCUAACUGUUGCACAUAAGCCUGGCAAUAUUAAAAUCAUUAAUAUCUGAAAAUUACCAUAUAUAGAAGAGGUUCCGCCAUUUCGCAAAGUUUUGAGGGUGAUUAUUGCUAGUGAUCAAAGCCAAUUUAAGAUACCUUUUUCCUGAGUCUGCUUUUACGUGCUGCUUCUCUAUUCUGAGCUAGGCGUCUCAGUGUCUGUUGAGAAAGAAGCAUAAUGGUUCAGCUGGUUAUAUACAUUCCAUCCAUAUAAUUAAUAUGGUUCAUAUGCAUGCAUGUAGAUAUAUAUAUAUAUAUAUAUANAGAGAGAGAGAGAGAGAACUUGGUACUUUUAAAAGCAUAGGAGCUCAAUUCUAUAUAUAUAUAUAUAUAUAUAUAUACACAUGCAUGCUUGCAUUAUAUGUAGUCAUGCAUGAUGAGUCACUCAGUGACCCUUCCAGCUAACUAAGCUCAAGUACAAAUGUGUGUGUGUGUGUGUGUGUGUGUGUGUGUGAGAGAGAGAGAGAGAGAGAGAGAGAGAGAGAGAGAGAGAGAGAGAGAUAUGCAUGACCUUUGAGUCAAGUAUCUUGCCAUCUUUCUCCCCAGAGGAACCAGCUGAUUUCUUCUGUCACAUGAGAUGCACGUGUAUGAAAUGGGUUUUAACAGCUUGAGAGAUGAGACAGAAGAGACAAAAAGGUAAAAAUAAAAGAGAAAUGCUACUAGAGAGAGCUGGACAUUUUACUUUUUUUUUAUUUAACGAUGCCCACUUAGAUAUAUAAAAAUAGAGAAAUCCACUAGAGCAAAAUGCCCUUUUUAUUGGUCCUACACGCCUUAUGAUGACAAAGCAAUAGGCUUGAUAAAAGCCUAAACUCCUUUUUCAACUUGUAGAUGCACCAUGACGAACAAACAUGUUACAGCAAAUCCACUCCCGUAAAAGAGCCAGAUUCUGUCCCAUGGUCAACCUCUGAGUCAAUCUUCUUGGAGUCAGUAAAUACUGAGGAUCCAACCUAACAAGAUUACAAGACCAAGAAUGGCACAAUGCUCCUUGGGAUAUGUGUGCCAAAAUACUAUUCUUAGAAUGGUUUUAUUAGUGGUCAAACCCCGUAAAUGGCUAUUGGAAUUAGUUCUUGAAGCCUCGGGUUUUAAGCUCCCAUUAGUAUGAGAGUGCUCCCAUGAUUUUUUUUCUUUUUUUUUAAGAAAAAAAUAGUAAAUUAUUUAUUUUGUCUAUUUUUUAAAAAAUAAAUUCAACUAUAUAAAAUAAUUAAUUUUCAAAUGAAAAUUUUUAAAUACCAACAAUUAAAUUCUUAACUAACCGCGCUAGCUAUGAUCGAUUAGAGUGCUACUAUGGUUUCUCUUAAAGAUCUUAUUAAAAUUUGCUAAGAUAGGUGAGGUUGGAUCCGGGGGAGUUAACGAAAAGUUGCCGAUAGAGUUACUGAUAUUCUGACAAUAAUGCUAGUUCUGACAAUAAUACUAGCAUUACAUUACUCUUAGGCCACGUAAGUAAUAAUAAAAGCAUGACUAUUAUUAUAGUCAACUGAAGACACCUUGGGACAGGAAAGUUAAAUGUACUAACAGAUACUUUAUUUCUUUCUAGGGAUUAGGGCCCUGCAAUAAUGGGGAAGAGAAUUGAAGGAGAACAUUCAAACAGUACCUUCUCUUGGGUUCUGUGCGGGUAAGUAACUGCUUCUCCUGUGCUGCUUCUCGGGGAAGCACUUGUCACCACCAGCCCUUGCUGCUGCUGCUGCUGCUGCCGUAGCUCUGAGGAAGCCAUUCUGCUACUCCCUGGGGAUUCGGCAGAUUCAAGGUGGGAAAUUGUAUGGUGAGCUGAUCCUGAAUCAGUGCUUUCUGCUGAUUGUGCAUUCCCCUGGGGGCCAUUAAAAUAAACAAGGCAAUUAGGUUCCUAAAUGGGCCAAACAACACGAGUCUUGGUUUUCUACAUAGUUUCCUGAUUCUCUUCUUCAUGAAUAAACCAAGUCAAAAUGCAAAGGUACGCGCAUACCUUGGGAGUUUGGUGGAAUCUCAUUGGCCAUGAGGGGAAGAUAUCAAGAGUUGGGGGUCUGGUGGUGAAGAAGGCUACAAAAGAGAGAGAGAGAGAGAGAGAGAGAGAGAGAGAGAGAGAGGAUUCAGAAGAUCAAUAAAGCUGUCUAAGGAUCAGAAAGAAACGGAAAUGAGCAGGUGUCAGUGUUAGAAAAGGAACUUAUUCCUUUCCUUCUGCAAGUGUUGCAGAGAGAUACUAAUAGAGGGGAGGGAGUUGGUUUCUGUGUAGUGGGGUGUAUCACACCAUAUAUUCCAACUUCUCCCAGCCUCAUGUGACCACCGAGAUUGGAAAAGGCAAAGAAGCCUUUUAUGAGGACUAUUUCAAACUUCCUUCACUCCUACGGUAGAAUAUGAAAGGAGUGCACUUCUGGGCAGGUGGCUUAUGUUUUGGAGAGAGAGAGAGAGAGAGAGAGAGAGAGAGAUACAUUUUCUUUCUCCAUCGCCUCUAAUGCCAACAACUCCUUGCAUGAGAGCCUCUUCCAGCUCUCCAAAAUAAGCAGCUCCAUCUUGAUCACUGAUCAUCAAUCAGCAAAAGACCCAGUUCAUGAAUAUGAAAAUAGUAUAGACAAAAAUCAUGAAUGAAAAGAUUUUAAAAAAAAAAAGAAAAUGAAAUUUGUGGAUAAAUAAAUCUGUAAAAAGUUAUGAUAAUGGUGGGAACAAGUGUUGGCCCAUGAAAAAGUACUGGUUGCACUAUCAUAACAAAGAGAAGAAGGCUCAGCAUAGGAAGCUAUCUAAUUCUUUCUAUGUAAUAGUACUAAACAACCAAAAGAAUAUGAAAAAAAUAAAAUAAAACUGUAGGGCAAAAAAAAAAAAAAAAAAGGCAUUAAGAAAUACAAUUCAUGUAAAGUUUUUUUUUUUUUGUUCCUUAUUCUUCCUCUUUCCUUUUGUAUCUCUCCCUCUAAUUUUGAAGAAGAAGAAGAAGAAGAAGAAAUAGUGAAAGAAUGUUACAAAAAAUUCAUGGCGGCAGGUGAGAUGGCAUGGGCUCCAUAUCCGAGAGGUUGACUUGAAGGCCCAGUUUCUGGAAACCCAGUUUCACCAACCCCAUGACUUGCCAUCUGAGAGACUUUUUCCCUCCUUACAACAUUCUCAACUCCCAUCAGUGAUGCUUCCCAUGCUUUAGAUCUUCAAAACUUCAAUUGAUCAAGCUCCUCAUCAAGCCUCUUGCUCCCUUCUGCAAAGAGAGAAGACAAAAGAAAAAAAACGAGAGGGUUGGAAAACAAAAACAGACAGAUAAAGCGAGGAGGGAGAUAUCAAAAGCUAAGCUAGAUUAAGAAGAGGUCAUACCAUGGGGGACUCAUUUUCUCUUGUGCUCCAGAGAAGAGGAAACUUACUUGACCCAAACUCUAUAAAGAGAGAGAGAGAGAGAGAGAGAGAGAGAGAGAGGUGGUGGAAUUCGAUGUUGGGGCUUCAGCUUUGUUGCAGUGAACACUAUGGUAAGGUGAAACUUAAUCAAUCUGAUGUUGGACCUUGACCAUUCAUCAGUUUCUUCUCCUUGUCUCUCUUCUGCUCUGCAGCUUUAGGUUCUUGUCCGCUCUGAUCUCUAGCAAUAAUUUCACCUCUGAAACUAAUCCACAGCGCAGAGAAGAUCUUGUCCUUGCAGCCUUGCCUCAAAAGUGUGUAGAGAGAGAGAGAGAGAGAGAGAUGGCAAAAAUAUAAAAAGUUGGGUCUUUGGGAAGGAGCCACUGGAAUCACUGACUCCUACUCCACUCCUUGUUACCGACUGUGAUCUCCCAUUGGCCCGCCCUAUGGGGCCCUUCUUUUCCAGGGGAUUUAAAAGUACUCAACCAAAACCAGCAUUCAACAGGAGACAAGCAACCCCUCCAUUAUUAUAUAAUAAUAAUAUAAGAGAUGGGGGCAUGGGAGCUUUGUCUGCUUCCAUUUUAUGCGGUUUACUUUAACCACUCAAAUCCACACAUCGCCCCAAUAACCUCUCAACUAAAACACUACAAUAAUCUAACCCACUUGAUAAUCCAAAAUCUUUUCUAAAUGGACUAAUUUGUGGUGUAUUAUCCUCCUCUUAUUUUUCUCUUGUUUUUCUUUUUUCUUUUUCUUUUUUUUUAAAUCCUCUUGUUGAAGGGUCAACAUCCAUGCCUUGUCAACAAUACCUAAAGCCAUGCCGCACACAAGAUUCUUUUCCUCAAACAGAUUUUUAAACAAAAGGUUCAGUGGUGAUCAUCUAUUCAUUUUUAUGCUCUUUAGGGGCGGUUGUCCUCUUUCUCUCCCUUAUUAGCUAGGGUUCAAUAUUUCUAUUAGGCAUGGUGGCGUGGAUUUGCCACUCACCGAUUGGGGUCUACAAAAAUAGAAUAACAAAGUACCUUUCUGAUAUAAUUGUAUAAUGAAGUGCCUUUCUGAUAUAAUUAUAUAUAUGCCUUAUGCCUUUCUUAGUGAAAAAAAAAUCUGGAUGGAGAAAGUUGUAUUCUAUCUGUUUUUUUAAUUGUUGCACCUAUCCUUCAUCAAUUAUUUCUAUGGUUGUCAAUGAUUGGGGGGGGGGGAGGGAGGACGGAGACCAAGGGGCGGCGUUAAGGAGCGGGGGGGGAGUUCGCACUCGGGGAGGUUGAGGUGCAGCAUGGGCGGUGGAUCGGGGGGCAGUCAUAGUCAACGCAUACAGACGAUGUGGAUAAUUCGGUUAGGCGCCUAAAAAAGGUUAGGCACAAAUUCUAAAGGGCCAUGGAUUAGGUGACCCUAAAAAAGUUGAGGAGAGUUUGCAAUCUUAGCUCUGACAGGAAACAACAUCAUGUUUCUGGGAUGGAAGAUUAGUUGAGAGUCUAUUUGGCUGGUCAUUUUUAGGGUAGAAAAAUCUAGAAUCAGACCUCCAGAAUGGCAAGUAGCUGGGGUUAGCUCCGGUCCAUUUUUCUACAGCACCUCAGCAGUUUAUGAGAUUUGAUGUUUCCAAAAUAAAGUAAUAGCUCUAGAGCAACCCACAUGGAGCGAGGAAGUUCACUUUAUAAACCAAAGAAGCAUCACACACUAGCCCCUGCAUCUGAUGUUAUUUAGGUCUAAUCAUCCGACUUUUUAAAUGCCCUCAAAGAUAAAAGAAUGUGAAGUCAAAUAACAUGCAUUGACAUCUUUCCCCUCCAAAAAAAAAGAAAAGAAAAGAAGAACAGCAUGAUAUGACAACUAUAUCUAUUAUAUUAAGCUGAUGAUUUUACCCCCCGUGUUUAAUUAAUGUAAGAUUAGACGGGGAAAGAAAUUAAUAAGCUACUGUACAAUAUUUGCUACAGUCUGAUUACCUUUUUUUUUUUUUUUUUUGUUUACUAUAACUACAUGUAAUUUAAGAGAGUGAGAAGACACUUCAAAGCAUACAGGGCAAUUGACUACCUUUGUUUUGAGCUAAAAAUAAAAGCAUCUUUAAAAAGGUUUUCAUGUCUCUCCCAAAGAACACACACUAGCUACUUGCAUACUGGAAGAAUCGUUAUCAAGGUACUCACAGAAGCAUAUGCAUGCAUGUCUUGUUAUAUCGGAUGUUAAUUAAUAUUUCCUCCCUCAAACAAUAUGACACUAGCCAAUCAUUUGCUUGCUGGGAUUCUGGGAAUACUACUAAAUCCACAAUGCUGCUAGCCAAUUACUAAAGCCAUUUCUUAGCUAUAAUAAUAAUAAUUAGAAUUUUGGUGUGUUAGUUGGAUUCGAGCAAUGUGUGCUUUACAUGUAUGGAGGAGUUAAACACUUCUAGCCAUAAUUGUGCGCCAAAAUUGUAAAGGAAGAGAACGAAAUAACGGCAUUUUAAACUACAAUUGCAGUAUAUAACUCGGUACCACCAAAAUAUUUCAGGAUUCUUCAAGCAUUGCCUCUACAAACUGCGAAACCAUCAUGAAUUAAGCAUGAAAUUUAAUAAGGGUACUAACUGAUGUAGAUCAUCGUGUAGGGCCAAUAAUAUACUAAUCAUUCGUUAACAACAUUAAAAAUCACAAAAGGAGAUCACAGUUUAGAGGCAAACGAGAUGGCUUUUUAAUCAAAAGCAUGGAUUUGUCACCUCGGUAAAGUGUGGCAGCUCAAUGUUUCGUCGUGAAGAGCAUUUUAUCGAGCAAUGGCGGACGUGCGGUGAGACGCGUAUAUUAUUGUGGGCGAACGAGAGGGGAGAGCGGAGGAAGCCGCCACAGCUUGUUGUAUGGCGCGAGGGUCGCCGAUAUGGCCUGAAUAAUGGCCGUUUCCGACAACAAGAAGGCCUCUAAUUGGGCCUAUGCAAUAAUACCUAAUGGGCCGCAUGUAAGGGUUAUUCGGCCGUUACAAUCGUCGGGCCCAGAGGCGCGCGUGGCACACAUUUAAUAAUUGGCGGAUCGUGACCGUUGACGCCGAUUUGCAACGUCACCGCUAAAAUCUGAGGAGAACCUGAUGCUUUUAAAGUUGUUGAACUUUGCUUGUAAAGAAGGAAUUUGUUGUUUAGACCGACUCUAUAGAUUAGAUGGAGAUGUAGACUAUGAUAUUAGAUUAUGUGUGAAUGGCAUAUAAAUCUUGUUCAGUAUGUAUAUACUCAGAAAAUUUGUAGUAUUUGAUAGAUAAAGAGUACGGUCAAAUAUCUUAGAAUGAAUAUCUCUAUUCACUUUCUAAUUAUUUUUCAAAGAGUGUUAUCUAGAAUGAAUAUCGUAUGUGAAAGACUUUUUAAAGAAUUAAAUUAAAUUUUUACUUUCUAUCACAAGAAAAGUUUUAUACUAAAUAAUUUAUUCACCGAUAACUUAUUUUUCAAUCCAAACUGGGCCUAAAAUACUGUUGUGUUGAUUAGCAAAAUUUUUAGAAGCAAAUAGCAUGAUACAACAUAUGAGUUAUUCUAAAAAAGUUACUUAGCGGUUUAGAAAAUCAAAUACUCUUAUUAUAACAGUGUUAAUUAUCCCUUUUUUGAAGCACAACUGUUUACUGCAUCUUUGUGUGGAUCGACUUGUCUUUCCUGCAAAUGAUUGAUGCAUAUGAACUUUCUUUUAAUUUUUAAGUGAUGAAUGAAAGACAAGAGUUGCAUAAAUUUAUAAUAAUUUCUCUCUUCAAGAAGUGCAAAAAAACCAUGGUGUAUUAAUGGGAACAAUCCGUCAUCAUUAUAGUUUUCAUCAUAUAAUUUUAUCAAAAUAAAAAAACAACUAAGGCGUAAAAUGUUACGCUUUUUUUGGAUUAUAUUACUAUUUAGAUCUAGUUUGGUAUAGUGUGAUCAAAAAACAUUAGUUUUUAUAGUAUGAAGGUCAAAAAAUAAAAAUAAAAGCAUUUAAUUCCUUUCCUCUCUUCAAUAAUUUAAAAUUUUCGAUUACAACCAUAAUUUAUAAUAUAAGAAGAAAAAUUAAAAUAAUUUUUAUUUUUAAAACUUUUUUUUUUUUAUUAAACAUGGGUAUACCCUAUUUAAAAGGGUUUUUUAAAUUAUAAUAUAAAAUGAGCAAUGCUCCUAUACACCAAACAAAUCUUAACCAUUAAAAUUUUUUAAAUUGACGGUAAUAAUGCAUCUUUUAAAAGAGGGUGAUUUGCACUUGGUACCAUCGGUACCAAUCACCUCUUUAACGAGGGCUAAAAAAAUUUCAUUACAUGGAGUUUGCAAUGACAUUUGGUAAAUUUCUAUACUCAUAACAUGCCAUCUUUGUAAAAUAUCUCAUUCAAUUUUUGGAAAGUUUUCACCCACAAACAUAAUUCAAACAUAAUUUCAAACAUAAUUCAGAUUUAUAAUUCCGAUUUACAAUUUAAAAUAAGAUAAUAUAUUUGAAAUUUCAUGUCAUUUUAAUAUCAAAUGAACAAUUUAAAUUGAAAUAUACUAUUCAUUUAAACAUAAAUUUUUUCAUUAUGAAAAUUAAAAUUAAAAUUAAAUUUGAAUUUAAUGUACACAAUUAUAAAGUUUAAGCUAAAAUUGAUUUUUAAAUUCAAUUUUAUAAAGGUUUAUUACUUAUCAAAUUUCACUAUCUAACUUGGUAAGUAAAAAAAUUAAACAAAAAAAUAAAUAUUUGUAUAUGGUUGAUCAAAUUUGGUAAUUAGUUUGUAUUUGUUUUCUCAUAUUACCCUUAUGAAUGGUAACCUAUUGAGCAGGUAACCAGUAUACAAAAGUCAAUCUCGUCCUUAAAAUAUAAACGACUAGAUUUAAUUUACCUGAUGUAUUGAAGCAUUCCUUAUAUAAAAUAAGUAUUUUUAACCACUACAUAAACUAAGCUUCAAUUUGUUUGGUUCAUAGAUUAUGUGGCAGCGGAUGGCGUGUCCAUAUCGUAGUUAACAAAACUACCAUCGACUUCUCUUUCGGAGUAAUUUCUUCGUCGUUUCCUCUGAUACUCACCAGCUUGUUUUUUUCCUCUUGCAUAGCUUUUUUUUUUUUAUAUUUAAAUCAUUUUGCGGAGGCUUGAGAAGAAUUAAAUGGCAUAAAUAUUAAAUAUAAAAAUAUAUAAACACCGUUCUUUAACUGUUGGAGAACGGUGUUUAUCUAUUUUAUAUUUAACAAUAAACUUUCUUUUUUUGAGACAAGGAUAGCACGCUACCAGUUUUAUUCAGUAAGAAGGUGAAUUAAGCUAUAUGGGUGAGACAACAAGAGCCUCAACGUGUGGUGCGAAAAAAAAAAAAAAUGUUAACAGUUUGGCCACUCCUCUGGACUAAGUUUCUUUCACAGGUCCGUCAGCUGCUGAAUUUUGUAGAUAUCGAUUGUUGGGUCAGUUUGGAUUAUUCUGAAAAUCGCUCUAUUCCUGAAGUCCCAAAUGACCCACCAACAAUAAACUCUUUUCAAUCAAAAGGCUAGCAUAGUUCAUUAUAUAGGAAAUUUCAACGUGAUGUUUAAUGAUGCAUGAAACAUAUCUUACUUAAUUUGCAACAAAUAGAGUUGCCAAAGGAGAGUCCAUAUAUAGAAGUGCUCGUCGCAUGUGGGGGAAUUUCACGAGCCAAAUUCCCUUCAAUAAAUUCCAUUACGGUGGGUCAACAUCACAGCUAGAGAGAAUCUCUUGUGACCCAACACCCCCCAGGGAAAAAAAUAUCCAUCCAAUCAAAUCCACCCUCUCCAUUGCGCCCCCAGAAAUGCCCAGACCCUCAUCAACCUCACACCCCUCCGUCCUAUGAAUUGUGAUACAGGAGAAGCCACACAACCCCUCCCAACACGGCCACGUUCCCUUUCCACACACCAUAUGCAUACUCUUCUCCUUAACGUGUCCUCCCCCUUCCCCACUCAUUUCCCCGACAACUAAGUACUGAGCUUUGUUGAAGAAGAAGAAGAAGAAGAAGAAGAAGAAGAAGAGUAAGGAGAAGGAGAAGGACCAUAGGUUUCGUGACCAAAGCUGCAUGGAGCCCUCGGACUACUCCAAGGAGGCGCCUUUGCCAAAAAUAGAGACGACCCACUUGCCGAAAGAGCACACUAAUGUCUCCGAACCGUCGACGGAGGCCGUUACUGCCGUAGAGAGCGAGGCGGAGAAUUUGGAUGAGCCCGGAAGCUCAGAUGCUUCUGCGGCGGCGGCGGCGGCCAAGGAGGAGGAGGCGGCGGAGUGCGCGAGGGAGAGGCUGAAGAGGCACAGGAGGGAGAUGGGCGGUCAAGUUUGGAUACCGGAGAUGUGGGGUCAGGAGAGCCUGCUGAAGGAUUGGGUGGAUUGUGCCGCCUUCGAUAGCUCGCUCGUCCCCGCCGGCUUGGUGUCGGCGAGGGAGGCCCUGGUCAGCGAGUGUAGGCGCCAGACAAGUGCGAGGCCUUUGCAGAUCCAAAAUCGGUGCGGAUCGAGUCUUUACAUGAUUGUUGCGGACUCUUAGCUCUUUUCAGUUUUUCAUUCUGGCCUGUCUUAGAUACUGUACGAAUUGGUUUAUUUGACUAGUCAAAUGAUCAGAAGAUAAUAAGGAUUAAUAAGAAGCACGAACCAGGAUUAUGCUUGCUAUUAGGAGAAAGAUGAAUGCUUUUAACAAUAUUUAGUUUGAUGCUUAAUUUUAUGUCAUCUUUAAAUGGCAAAUGUACUUAUUAAAGAACUCCGGUACAUGCAUGCAUGUAUUGAUCUUCAAACAAUUUGCUGGUGAAUAUUCAUGUAUCUGUUGUUGUAUUCAUAACAUGUGGCACUUUUGGGGCCUGAGCUGGUUCAAGGUGCCCAAAGUAACCACGUAAUCAAAUUACAUAUUGUGGGUAUUAUCACCUGUAUCUAUAUAUACAUGUUGAGAUUUGGGAUAUUUAUAGUUAAGAUAAUAUAAAUUUAAUUUAUAUAAUAAUUUACAAUUGAUUCUGCCUAUCUUUGUUUGAUUUGUAUACUUACAUAUAUAGCAAAAUAUAAGUACAAGGGUGUCGAAUUAAAUCUAAAGUAAUCAUUUUGCUGCAGGAGACAUGACGGAGAGCAGAGACCAAGAAUUUUUACAGUAAAACCUUCACUCAAGGGACAAUCGGAAUUAUAGAUUUGGCAUGCAGAGUGUUCUCGUUUGAUUCCAUAUUAUAUGUGAAGUAUAUCUGGAACUUUCAAAGGAAUAAAGAGUCUUCCAGUAGGUUAAUUUGUAGAAAACAAAUAUUCUUAUAGUGUUAAUAAUGCUUUAAUGAAGUUAAUACAGAUGUAUAUAUAUGAUAUUUGUUUCACUGGUUACUAAUUAUACGUCGUUUGACAAAUAAAUAUAUUGAAUUUUUGCUCUGAUAGAAAAUUUAAAUGAGUUUCUAGGCUAAAAAUUAUAGCCUCUUAAAACCUAUUAGUUCUAGUACACUGAAACAUCUUUACAGAGACCAACCUUGCAGUGUUUUUUAAAACAAUUUUACUUUUAUCGCUUGCAUAAAGUUUCAGUUAGGUCAAAUGCACCCUAGUAUUUUGAAACAAAAACAUCUAUCAAAGUAAUUACUUUCAUUCAGAAAACUUUGAAAGUUCCAGUAUGAUAUAGCGUAUUUGUACUUUAUUGUCGCGUGGUUCAAAGUGUAGCAAUUUGUCCUUUCAUGGUUUCAUGUUUAGUUUUUUGUAAUGUCUUGUUUUUUCUCUUUUUCCUCCGCACACUUUGAGACUUUACUAAAAGGGCGUUUGGUUCCACAUAAAACAAACUAAAAUUUGGCAUGAGAAAUAUUUUUCUGCUUACCUGAUUCAACAUAAACAUAUUUUUUCAUAAAAGUAUUUAUAUGGAUUUAGAAAAACAUUAAAAUUUUCAAUUUUCUUUUUUUUUCGACAGAAAAAGAACAUUUAAGCUGCAUAAGUUUUUUCAUUCAUUUUUUUUCUAAUGAACCAAAUAAAUGUGAAUAUUUUUUUCCUUUCAAUAAAAUAAAUAUCGAUAAAAAAUUAUUUUUUUUCCUACAAAUUAACCAGACACUAUUAAAUGUAAAAAAAAUUUUCCCAUCAAAUUUUUUUUCUAUGCAAAAUUAUUUUUCACGAUUUUAAGUUGAACCAAAUGGACUAGAAGGUUUAUUAUGCCUUUAUAAUAUUAUAUAAUUAAUAUCUAUGUAUUCCAUGCAAAAAUUGAUUUUUUUUUUUUUUUAAGAACAGAUAACAUAACACACCGGGAGAUUGUAAACCAAAUCUUCAAGUCACUAAUAUUGCUUAAGUACAUAACCAGAUAUCUUUGAAAAUAAGAUCAACCACUUAUCGAUCUUUACCCCAAAAAAAAGAGGUAAAUCCAUUAUUUUUCCCCCCAACAUGUAGAUAUGUAAUUUACCAUUCCUUGCGCAAGUAGCUAAAAACUUGGUGAUUAAUUUUUUUUUUAAAAAUAAACGAAACGAAUAAAAUGCUACCUUUCUCUCUUUAAAAAAGAAAAAAAAAAAAACAUGUAGCUAUGUAGCUUCAUCGGUUCAUUUCAGGCUCAGCCUUGUUUCUUUCCAAAAGGAAGUGGUCCAUGAAGUGUUUAUCAGUAAUCAAAGGGUUGGAGUGAGCCUCAUCCUGACUUCAAGGCAACUCGGCAUUUCAAGGCUCUUGGCCAGCGAAAUUUGCGUAAGAGUCAUUAUAAAAAAAGUCGGCGAACGAGUGUCUUUCCCCACCGACUUUGCUAGACUCCUAUUUCUCAAAAUAAAAAGAGACUUCGCUAGACUCCUAAAUUCGGCAAAUUUUAAUCUCCAAACUCGGCAAAAGAGAACGUAUGGGUGCCGUUCUCAAUUCGUGUGAACUGAAAAGAUUUGGGAAACGGAUGGGACUGGGAAAGGGCCCUGCCCCUGCUGUCCCGUUCAGGAGACUCAGCAUUUUUAAAAUUUUCACCACCUGAGUUUCCCGCCGUACUAUUAAAAAAUAAUGAUAAAUUAGUGAAGGAGUUCGUCCUUCACAGCGGGUAGAAAUUAUAGAAGUAAUUAAUAAUAAGAGAACAUUAAACAUUCUCUUGUAUAUCUUAUUUACCACAGUCACUAAAGGUCCCUCACAAUUGGUGCCUGGAAUGGGACCGACGAUGCCUUCUCUGGCGAUGGUAAUAAUGAAGAUGACAACAAUCCUUUCGGCCGCGACAGAGAGGGGAGAUAGGCACACAUUAGUGAGAGAGGGAGGGGAGAAAGUGACUGUGUGUAGAAAAAAAUGAGGGAGAGAGAAUUGAUAAAUUAAUUAGAGAUGAAUAGGUGCGGAUUGCAAAUGGCAAUGAAUAAUUUGAAUGUAUUAAUUAGCAAAUGGCAAUGAAUAAUUUAAAUGUAUUAAUUAGAAGUCUGGUGGAGGGAAGAAAAUGGAUCAUAAUGAAUUAAUUGAAGAGAGAGAUGUAAGAAUUGUAGAUGGCAGUGAAACCAUUUAGAUGCAUUAAUCGAAAGUUUGGUAGUAAAACCGUUUAGAUAUAUUAAUUAGAUGCAUUAAUUAAAAGUUUAAUGAAGAAAAUAGGAAGGGUCACACGCUGGUAAGGAUAAAGAACAACUUUCAUAAAAAAUGAGAAAUGUCACGCGUUAGUAAGGGUGAAAAAUAACUUGCCAUAUGGUAAAAAAUAUUGAAAAUGUAUAUAGGUUAAUAAAUAUCUCCCUCAGAUUCUUGUACAUUAUUAUAACAAAAAAAAAACAGAGAAUAAUAAUAAAUAUAGUUAAGUUCCCAUCCAAUGCCACAAAUCUAAAAUAUUUUAGUAGUAAAAUUUAGUUUUUUUUAAUUAAUUUUAAACAAUUUAUCAGCUGAUUAUUAAUAAAUUAAUAUAAAUACAAAAUUUCAAUAAGUAAAUCAAUUAAAAAUUUAACAUUGGAAGAUCUGUGCCACAUAAAUUUUUGUAAAAGCUUAUUAGGAAUUAAAUUAUUCUAUGUAUAAAAAUAUAAGAAAAUUAUAUAAAAAACUAAUUAAAAUAAUUUAAUUAAAUUAAUUGACUAGUAUUUAAUUAAUAGAAUAGUAUGAUAGGAAGAUCAGAUAGUAGAGAAAAAAAUUAUUUUCUUCACCAGAUGUAUAAAUAUAUCUUAUACAUCAUAAUUCUAAACCCAAUUAUAAAAAUUUAAACUCCCUAAUUGUCAUACAUUAGUUUUUUUUUUUGUACGGCAUAAAUUACAUUUAUAGGAUUGGAUAUUGAUUUUGUAAUCUUAAUUUAUAGGAUGAGAUAUUGAUUUGGUAAUAUUAAUUAUUAAAAAAUAAGUACACUACUUGCCGUGGCGGGUGCGGGUGUAGGUAAUAAUUUCUCACAGUUGAGAAUAGUAAAUAGAGUGAAAUUAUUCCUUGCACCAGCUGUUUAAGUAAUUCUUAUACACCUCGUUCCUAAAAUCCCACUAUAAAAUUUUAAAUUUAUUGGCUUAGAUGUUUUAUAAACUUGUAGGCCAGGUGUAUUUAAUAAUUUUUCGUAGUUAAGAAGUGUGAAGUAGGUGGGCCCCAGCAUUUAGUGUACAUGGGCCCCACGAUUCUAAAUUGAUAUGAUUCCGACACGGCUCCAAGGGCUGGCAAUUGAUAUAUAGUUAAAGUUAUUAUAGAAGAUUAUAGAUUAUAAAUGUCUCCACUAUCACCUUACAAAUUGUAAAAAUAUCCAUAUUCCUACUUUGAAUAGAAAAUCCGUAGAGUGUUUAGGAAUUAUGUCAUAUUCACUCCGAGUGAAAUAUUUAGAUACUUUUUAUACUGUAACGCUUUACGUAUAUUUUGGAAUAUUUAGAUAUUUUUCAUGAUAUAAAAUUUUGUGUAUAUAUAAAUACUUCCCACGCUACAAUACAGAUCAAAUUGUAAUAUCAUAAACAUAAACAUGCUACCCAUAUAUUUUACCCUACCAUAAAUCUACAGAAGUUGGCUAAAAAUAGUGUUUUACAUGAAUCCUAAAAAAAUAAUACUAACCAUACAUUCAAAGUAAAUAUAAGUCUUACAUUUCAUUCAUCUAAAUAUUCAUUUGAUUAUACUAGUCUUAUCAUAACUCUAAUUAUUUAAUACCAACAAUACAAAAAAAAUUAUAUAAAUUUUUUAAUGUAUAAAGUAUAUGCUUUACAUCCCACUCUUUUCUCCUAGAAAUCCACAAUUACUGAACUCGGCAAAAGCACAUAUUUCCGCCACCGAUAUCACUUUAAUAAGUGAAGUCGGCAAGCUUGGAUGUUUCGCCACCGAAUUUCUGUUUAGGGUCGUCACUAUCGCCUACUCGGGCGCUCGCUUCUCUCUCUCUCUCGUCCCCUGCUCUUCUUCUCCGCCGUGCGCUCUUCCUCUCUCCAACUCUCGUUCGCCGCCACGAUCUGUACGAUCUCUCCUUUUCAACGUAUCUAUGUCCCGCUCCAGGUUUCUAGGGUUUUACUCGAUGUUUAAAAGGAGGCCUCUCCUUGUUUCUCUGUUUUUUUUCUGCUAAUAAGCUCCUUUUCGCGCUAUUAAAUAGUUAGAUUCGUAAUCUGUACAAUAUGUUCAAUGUAUUCAAUAUUAUAUUUGCGUAUUUGCUUUAUGAAACCAUGAAGUUUUUGUCAUUUUUAAAGUCGAUUACUCUUUACAAUGUGUAAGGUUGAAAAUUUGUGCGAAGUUCCCUUGGAACUAUAUCUGCGUGCUCGUAUUGUUUGUCUAAUACAGACUUAUGGCAUGCGUCUGUGUUUGUUCUAAGAACCUUAGGAUUAGAACGAUUCAUGAGGGCUAAAAAAAAGAUGCUUCUUCUUAUGGGAAGGGAGGUUAGCACAAGAACUGGCAGUCCUCCUCGUAGUUCACUGACAAUCUUGGGAAGUAGUGAGCAACACCUCAAAGAUUAGAAAGAUUUGAACAAACUAAUCAUUUCAUGAAGAUCAAAAUAUUUCGAGUAGAUUUGCUCAUGUAAAGAAUUUGUUCUAUUGUGGAGUGAGUUUAAAUACUGUUGAGAUCGCUAGUGAUGGAGCUGAAUGGCAAAGUUGUUACCGUGGUCGUAACCCCUUAUAGCUUUCAAAUCAUCAUAGCUGGUUUAUCUGGAUCGAAAAAUACAUUUUUGGAUGGGUCUGAACUUCUGUCUUGAAAAACCCCGUAAGAGUAGUAUUGAAGUCCAGAUAUUAUGGCUUUAGCUUUGCUGGGUCUUGAUUUAUGUCUUUAAUAUAGUUCGGCUUUAUAUAGUGUGCGAGUUGACGCUAUCACAUCGCUCUUUUGCUCCUAAUCACAUGGAUUUUCUACAGUAAUGGUUUCUAUCAAAUAGAGCAUGUUGAGCGUAAUCUACUGGAGAAGUGCGAUAAUUUAGUAGUUUGAAGUUCUUGUACUUUGUCGAGUGGGGGAUGUAAAUAGCAAAUAACAGUAGGUUGUGGAAUUCAUGGUGGACAUGACAAGGAUCUCAUGCUGGAAAUAUCGUAUCUGAAUGUUCCCAAGAGAGUUGGCAAAGUAUUUAUCACAGAUUCUGCUAUAGUUGAUGCCUAGUUGUACUUCAUAUCCUCAUUCAAACUAAUAGUAGUGUUUUGAUAUAAUAUUUGCCACCACUAAAGCAAUAUUUACUUGGUAAACUGGGCGAUCGUGGUUCAGAGUAGAAUGUGAGACAAUUGGAGCAACUCUUUAAGUUACCUACGAAUUGCAAGAAGAUAAGGAGCUAGGAGACUAACUGAACCAUUUAAUUCUUUUACCAUUUGGCUCUAUGCAUUUGAUAAAAUCUUUGUGAUCCUUCUAGCUUAGCUUUUCGUCUGUUUUUUUCUCAUAGUAACUAGGGAACAUGAGACUCUUGGGACUUCUCAGAAACUCCAUUCAUUGAGGCAGGCCAUCACCAUGCAAGGAAGAUAAACAUGGCAACUUUUUUAAUGAUUAAGAAAUUGCUCUCAAAAAAAAAAAAAAAAACAAAAUAAACAAAAUAAAAGAAAAGAAAGAAAAGGGAUUAAGAUAUUGCUCAAAUGAUUCACAACUGAGAUCUCAUGUGAUCUGCGUAGAGUUAGUUAUGCAAUUACUGACUUGAAGUUUGUUUUGAUCGUCCUUAAGCUUCUGUUAUCUGGUAUUGGUAAUCUUCUAUGUAAGCUUUUGAGUCUUGGCUGUCAGGAUCUCAAGUUCUCUGUAGUUUGUUACCUGUAUUUCUUAUGGUCCAUUGGAUUCUUUUUUAGUUAAAUAAUUCUCUACUUCAAACCCAAGCGUCUGUUUGGCCAGUUGGCUAAAACAGCAUCUGUAAUUUGGGAAGCUAUAAUCAGCUGUCUGAAAACCAAAAACCUUUGUUGUUGCAGGAACUAGGAAACUAAAAUAAGCCUUUGUGUUCCAAAAGCUUCUCCAAAUUAAAGCUUCUGUCUCUGCUGCAAGGGGAAGCUGCUUGAGGAUUUUAAUUAAAAACCUGAUAGUCCUUUUUGAUACAGCUCUACACAAAUAACACUGCUACAAAAGCUUUAGCUGCUGAUGUUGCUGUGGAUAACUUGGAAUAUGUUUGUGUUAAAGUUGUUUCAAGUCAAAAUCAGACAUAGAUUGCAAAAAACCUGCUGCCCAUAUUCAAGCCUGACAAUAUCCGCCAAGAAUAUUGCAGCAACUGAUCACAUCGCCGAAAGAAAGUAUAGUUGAAUGCAAUAAUUAGAACUUUUUGGCUAGAGGACAGAUUACAAGGAUAGGCACAAGAUAAAGCCCCAAAAGCUUGUUGAUCAUGAUAGGAAGUGAGAAUAAUAGAAGGGCCCGUAUGCCAAACUUAUUCAAUAUUUUUUCCUUUUCUUUUUAUUUUGUACUCUUAAGACAUAGCAUGUGAUUUUUCAAUCAAAAGUUCAGUGGAGAUGCUCUUGUUUCUCUAUUCUUUUGUCGAAUUAUUUUGAUAACCACCAAAUUCUAACCAGUUUUUUUUUAAAAAAAAAAAAUUAGUGGUUUGCUCACAGGGCUAUUCAGCCGAAGGUGUGUUUGCUGAUCUGGCAAUCAUGGUGUUCAAGUCAUUACACCUUGACCUUGUCCACAAUUGACAGUUGCAAUCCUGUGUGAGACCAGCUUUUUUUUUUUUUUACCAUUUUGGUAUUUCUUUUUAGCCCUUUAUUAUUAUAGUUUAUAUGUUUUAAAGGACUUAUUAUGCAAGAGAAGGCUGUAAGAAAAGGUUGACCAUUACCUGAACCUGGUGCAUCAUGGCUCUCCUCUAGAACCCAAAUCUAAACCUCUUAAAAACGUGACGGUAGUUUGUAAGUGUGAAAUGCAAUAGUCUUUUUAGAUGCUCCGGCAAUUGGUUUUUGAAAACAUUAAUGUUGUUUUGACAUGUAGAUUUUUUCUUGAUAUUGUAGACUACUUCAAGGAUUUAUAAGUUGAUUUUCUAUCCCUCUCGUCUCUCGAUCAAUUGGUAAGGGGCGUUUUUUUGACUGAUGCCGUGGACCGGGUCCAGGGUAUUAUCUCUGGAAGCAAAGGAUGUUGAGGCAAGCUUGACGGAUGGAGAGGAAAGCAGUGGAAAGCUUCACCGUCACUCUGGCGAAUCUGGCAAGUAAAAUAUUUGUACUCUUUUCCUCCACCCACAGGGCACAGGGUGAUAGAGUACAGUAAAGGACUAAAUAGUUGUUUGGUUUCAUCUGCUCUUAGUGGAAAUCAUUUUCAUAAUUUUAUACCGCAGCAGGAUCUCAAAAUGAGAUUUUGAGGCCCGAAAGUAGAAGUAUCAAUUUGGUGCUCUCACUUUUGGUGCAAGCGAAAUUUGUUGAAAGGGCUAUGAUAAAUGCUUCUCGUACAUGCAUUACUUGGAUGAUACUUGAUUCACCAGCAGUAUAUACUUCGUUUGAUUUCCAUUUGGGAAUUCCGGGUGGCUUUAUAUUUGCUGACUUUUAAUUAUUUGAUUUCCAUUCUGGGAUUCUGGGUAGCUCGCCUAGCGAGUAGCAACAGAAUACAGAAUAAGGACGGACUAAACGGCGUUUCAUUUAAAGCGGAGAAAGCGGGGAUAGCAACGAAUAGCCAUUGGCUCGGUGCACGGCCGGGCCCAAAAGGUGGGCCCACUCCUCGGCCCAAUAAGACUUAGUUGCCGAGUUGGAAGCAACGACACGUGCGAUCUACUUGGAACUGCGUCAUCCCGCGUCGGCCACCCACUCCUCUUCCCACGUUCUCCCACCGCCACCUGUCGGUGACCUCCCCACCCCACCUUCUUCCUCGCUAGUGGAAGACGUUAUUUUCCGUUGACACCCCCUGUCACCGGCUCAACUCUUAAUGGACGAAAUUACCCUCCCAUCCCCCCUAGCUGCUGUUGUCGGAGAAUAGAUAAUUCCAGGGAUAGAGAGGUCAGAUUAAUGCUCUUAUGACCACACGCGCCGGGAACAGUAACGACACGUGUCGAAACGGGGUGAGAAAGCACGAGACUCGUGAAGGCUCUCUCCCCCCACCAAAACAAGAUUCUUAAAUGAGGUGGCAAGUGGAGUGGGAGAGGAAGCGGCAGACGCGUCAGUGGGGAUCGAAGCUCACACCCUGGAGACAAUGGCGGAGACGCGUACCAUUCUCUCCCUCCUCCUCCUCCAUCUCCUCUCUCUUUUACUCCUCUUCCUCUCAGGUUCGCAUCUCUCUCUCUCUCUCACUCUCUCUCUCUCUCUCUCUCUCUCUCUCUCUCGAUCCUUCGAGAAACAUAGCGAAUCCUCUUCCAUUAUCCUCGGAUUACAUCGCCUUCGUCGCAUUUCAUGUUAACAUUUCUAGAGAUCGCGCCGUGCAAUAAAUCCAUUGUGAAAAUGGCGAUCGAUUGAUGUACCUGUCGAUAAGCGGAGCAUCUAUUAUCUUUUAGUUUCUCCGGGAUUGUUAUUUAAUUUUUUUUUGAUUGAUUUAUUCAGUGUGCGUAGUUUUAAGAUUUGCUCCUAAGAAGUCGAAUUCAGGGCAUUAUAUUUCGGUUGAACAAUUUCAACCACUGAGGCGGCAUUGUUAAGAUAAGUUUGUAAAUUUUCUAAGCAAUUUUUGAGAUCCAUUUCACUUUUCGUCUUCUAAAAGGAAAAUUAAUAUUAUGUAAUCUUUGUAAAAAUAGUGUGAUUAAGUUGUCCUUAGAUUCUAUAAUUUAUUCAUAAGGCGCUUAAUCACAUCGUCCCUAGGUGCUUAAUCAGUGCUACAGUAGGGGCGUCAAGUAUUUAAAUAAGGUCUCGUGUCCAUUAUAUCGCGUGUAUGUAGAUCUGAGCAGGAUCCAAAUUGGAAGAGCUCAUUAUUAAACUAAUUCAUGGUUUUGAUUGUAGUAUGACCAGCCAAACUAGUGUUGCUUAGUUAUGUAGGUCUUCUGUUAAUAAUAAUAAAAAACGAACCAGAGAAUUUGGUACUACCAAUAUUAUCAUAUUUAUUAGUUGAGGUGAAUGAAAGUAUCAAAAGUGUACUUUCCAGCACCGCCAUAAUCGCAUGAUCAUGUGGAACAGUGGAAGUUUGUUCCAGUUAUAGAAUUAAGAAAUAUCUGUGGUUAACAUAGAUUAGGACAAUAAUAUAUUGGGCAGAAUAAACAAUUGCCUUUUUCUUCAUCACCUUAAUAUUAAAUGCCUAAUUCUUUUUUCUGUGUGGUAACCGCCUUUAAGCGAGUCUCUGUUCAAAACAAUAGAGUAUAUAUUAUUGAUGAUCUUAUUUCUUAUUAUUUGUUCUGUAAUUAUUUUCGGAACUCAUUAUUAAAAAAAUGCGCUGAUCUGAUUCAACAUAGAAAGAAAAUUCCAUAAUUCUCAUCUAAUAUUAUUUAUAUUCUUGAAUGGAGUGCGUUCUAAAAUGGCUCAAUAAUUAUUCCCCUGCAUGUAGCUGUUGCAACAGAUUCUCAAAGUUGUCACAUUUGCAGAUCCAUCAAGCCAAUCACUUGCACUCACGGUUGGGAUCAACUAUGGGCAAAUUGCUAACAAUCUCCCUUCCCCAGGCAGAGUAUCCUGGUUCCUUCAAUCCCUCAACGUCAGCAGAGUAAAGCUCUAUGAUGCUGACCAGAAUGUCUUAAGUGCCUUCCUCAAUACUAAUGUUGAAUUCAUAGUUGGAAUCGGCAAUGAGAAUGUAGCAACGAUGACUGACCCUUCAAAAGCCCAAGCAUGGGUUCAACAACAUGUCCUGCCUUACCUUCCACAUACCCGCAUUACUUGUAUCACUGUCGGUAAUGAGGUUUUCACUGGCAAUAAUACUACUUUAAUGGCCAAUAUUUUACCAGCAAUGCAAUCUGUAUAUCAAGUUCUUGUUUCUCUUGGAUUGGACAAGCAAGUAAAUGUCACUACUGCCCAUUCCCUUGAUAUCUUGGGGAACUCUUAUCCUCCAUCGGCUAGUUCUUUUCGCCAGGAUCUUGCAGUUUACAUCCAACCCCUCCUAAAUUUCCAUUCGAUGGCUAAGUCCCCAUUUCUCAUUAAUGCCUAUCCUUAUUUUGCUUACAAGGCAGACCCUAGCAGUGUUUCGUUGGAGUAUGUGCUCUUCCAACCCAAUCCAGGAGUAAUUGACCCAAAUACAAAACUGAACUAUGAUAACAUGCUUUAUGCUCAGAUCGAUUCAGUGUAUUCUGCUAUUCAAGCUAUGGGGCACACGGAUAUUGAUGUGAGGAUAUCAGAGACAGGGUGGCCAUCCAGAGGAGAUCCUGAUGAGGUAGGAGCCACCCCUGAAUAUGCUGCAAUAUAUAAUGGGAAUUUGUUGCAGAGAAUAGCGAUGAACCAAGGCACGCCAUUAAAACCAUCUGCACCAGUUGAUAUAUUUGUUUUCGCAUUGUUUAACGAGGAUUUAAAACCGGGACCAACCUCAGAAAGGAAUUAUGGGUUGUUUUAUCCUGAUGGCACCCCUGUUUAUAAUAUUGGAUUACGUGGAUAUCUUCCACCAAUGUCAUCAUCUUCCAAGCUAAUGGUAAGAUAUCCACAUUCUUCUAUACAAAUUCUAUCAUUUUCAUUCUCUUCCAUUUCUCUGUUUUGUUUUGGCUUAGGAUUGUCCUGCAUGUGCUGUCAACAAACUACACGAAUAAAGAAUUAGUAAAAAAAAAUAGAAAAGAAAUACACAAAGAAGAGAUAUCAAUUUACGUGGUUAGGCAAUUUGCGACUUAAUUCUGAUUACCUGUGAAGUAUGGCAAUCCUUUUAUAUGCAUACGUGCACAUAUCAAAUUUUGCAACUUGCAUCAACAUUCUUAAUUAGCCUAUACCCAGGCUUUUGACAAACACAACAUGCAUGAGUUUCAUGAAAACACACUUCACCAUCCAAUUAAAAUCAUCCCAUUCACAGUUAAAGGACUUCGAUAGAUCCACUGCACUAUGAACCAACUUCUAUAUUCAUGUCUCUUUCGCAUUUAGAAAAUCUAUGGGCCAAACAAAUCUCUUUAUGCCCUAUACAAAAGAAGACAUAUAUCCAACAUGUUUCAUACUUAAGUGACUAAAGUUUGAGAGCCACCAAGGAUACACCAAGUAGUAGAUUUGCAUAGCAGUUGAUAAAGCCACUCUGAAGAAGAUCAGGUUAACACCUUUCUACAUUUUUGAGUAAAUAUGGAACUAGACAUGCAUCAGCAAAUUGCCAUAACAUUUGGCCAGUUUAGCUAACUAUAUCGGAAAUUGUUUCUUCUUUCGACCUUAGUGUCUGGCUAAAGGUCAAUUAAAGUGCUACAAGUAAGUUGGUGGUUAACUUUAGUUAGACCUACAAAUCUACAAUCUAUUUUAAAGCUACUUCAAUGUUGGUGAAUCGACAGUUAUCUUAAGCCAUUUGACAUUCUGCUUGGCUUUUCGCUUCCUCCAGGCUGUUCCCUUCUUGGGCCUUUUUGUGUUGGUAUCAACAGCUUUGAUCUUAGCCUGAGAGCAUAUACUUCAGAUGAUUUUAGUGGGGGAAUUAUCGACUCUUUUGUUCUGUUUCCAGCAAUUAUAUCGGAAAUUAGUGAGGUAAAUUACUCCGUUGAAUAUUCUUUUCCCUUUUUUAUUUUGGUUCUUUAUCUCCUUUAGUUUAGCUUAGUUUCUUUUGUUGUUAAGAGACACUAAAAGAUGCCUACAGGAGAGCAAUUAGAAAAAUGUAAUCUCUUUUCCUUAGAAAUACAAUAAAUCACCUCAUAGAAUAAUGCACUAUCUUGGAAAAUCAUAAUUAUUGGAAGUGAUAUUAGCAGAUGUGCUUUUGGUAUGGGAAGAUCAAAUUUAUUUUAUCUGAUAAACGACAGUUAUUGAAUAGUGAACAAACUUAAUAAAUUUAUUUGUUUAAUAUCAAAAUUAGAUCUCUUAACAGCAUUACCGUUAUCAAAAUCUCGCAAUGCAAUGGUUUAAAGUCGAGCUUCUAUGCUGUAAUCACAACACGAAAGAACUGCCAAACAAAUGCUAUCCCCUUAUAACUUGUUCCGACAUCCAACUAGGCUCUUCAUGAUAAACAGGAGCUUUCCUUUAUGGUCGUGCUCUUUGAAGGGUCAUUUGUCUUCUCUUGCACUAUUUUUGAUCCUUUUAUUCAAGCACCUUGGAGCAAAAUAUGCAACCAAAAAUUCCAGAUAUCAUACCGCCCUUUCUUUUCAUCGUCUUUUCCUUUUCUGAUAGCUCUACUUCUUAUAAGGCUUUAGUCUGUUUUGUCGGUCCAUCCUUCUCUAAGAAUUUUCCGUUUUGGCAAGUUUAUCGUCCCAUCAUCGCCCUUUUGUUUGGUCACGGGAGUAUAAUGUAGCUACUAUUUCAAUGAGGAAUUAUUGCAUUUAUUCUUAUGUUUCACAGCAAUCCUAUUUAGAUAUUAAUCUAAACAAGAUGUGUCUUCAUUUGUGCAGGUCAAUCUGAGUUCACUCUCAAAUGUAUAUAGUUGCUGCCGAAACCUCCUUAUUACGUUGAGCUUGGCGGUGCCGACUCCAAUAUGGUUCUAGAAAUAGAACUGACUAAAUUUAUUGAACUCGUUCCAGAAUUUUUAAUCUGCAGUUCAAUCAGCAGUAAGGAGUAGGGGAAAGCUAGAAUGCAUACCUAAGCUUAACUACUGCUUGAUGAAGAACAAGCAUUGUCUAGUGUGCAAAAUUGCAUUUAGCUUUUGAUGGAUAUUGUUUCUCAUAGAAAAAGUUUUAUUUUUUUUCUUUUUCUAUGACAUUGAAUAAAUGGUUAAAGGACAAACUCCAACAGAAGGAUCAUUAACUUACCCACUGCACUAUAUUUUCUAUUGCGAUCAUUCAUGUUCCUCCAUUUUGUUCAAGCUAUGCAUGAAGGGAAGCGUUUUUUCUUCUAUUAAGGCACAAAAUAACUUGGGUUUAGUGAAUUUACUACUGUUUCCUAUAUAAUAAACAAUAGCGGACAAGAUUGCAAUAGUCAGUUGAAUUUGGAAAAUCUUCAUUCUAGAUUGUUUUUAUGAUUAUGGUGUCACUUCUUACAAGGAUAAAAAAUAAAAGUGGUCUUAAACCUUUUAUCCCUUUCAAUGUUCUCCUGUUCCAAGAUAAGCCACUGAUGAUAGAAUUAUUCCUUCAAGAAUGAAAUUAUUUUGAUGUGCUGUGUCUCUUUCAGCAUCACUCAGCUUUGAGCUCAUCCCAUGUAAGCUUAGGCAAAGAUUAGACUUAGCAAGAUAUUUCAAUUGCGGAUUUGGAUAACACUUAGGGUGCGUUUGGUUCGCGCUAUCUUUUAAAGAUUUCUAAUAAUUCAAUGGGAAUAAAAAAAAUAUGACGGUAUUUGGCUAAACGUACUAAGUAAUCUAGUUGGUAAUAUUGGAUUCACUUGAGAAUAAGAUUCAUCCCAAAGUACUAAUCUCAUUUCCUUUAGGAAGGAUGGGUAUCCUCAUAUUAAUGAAUUGGGGUAAUUAUAAUAUGUCUAAUCUCUUUCUUUCUUCUUACCCGCCGGCUAAUUGAUAUUAUUUUUCUUUACACUCUAACCUUAUAUCUCUCUCUAAACUUAUUUUUCUCUUUAAAAUUCAACUUUUUUUCUCUCUCUAAACUAAGCUUUCUCUCUCUCUCUUUCUAAAAUUUCAACUCUCUCACUCCCUCUAAUUUCGACUAUAUUUUUCUUUCUAUUUUUUUAAUUAUGCUCUCUCUCUUUAACUUAUACUCUCUCUUCCUUUUUUCUAAAAAGAUAUUAAAAUUUUUGGUAAUAUUAUCUAAAAUUAAAUUAAUUAAUUAAUUAGUUAAUUGUUUAUUUUUUGUAAUAUUAAAUAAUAUGGCUAAUUAAUAUUACCGUGCAAACCAAACAUAAAAAUUUCACAUUCUUAAUAAUAGAAUGAAUAAUAAUAAGAUUCUCGGAUAUCUUUUAUUCCUAGUAAUCUUUCAUAAUGCAAACCAAACGCACCCUUAACACCAUGCCAUGGCAAUCAUAACUUUGAGUGCGAUGGCGUAAUAGAAAAUCAGCAUGUGUUCAAACCCUUAUCUUAAUAAUGAAUGUUGUUGAUGUGACCCAAUAAACCAACAAGCGCAUGAAUCUGAGCCCAACCAGAACUCGGUGUGGAUCCUAGCUAGAUUUCCUUCAUGAGCAUAUAGAUUUUAAAUAAAUCUCCCAAUGAUGGCAAAAAUCAAUUAUUUGAGUUACUACCAUCCAUUUUCUGGAAGUGGGCAUAACUAUUUUGCUUUUCAUUUAAGGAUUCAGCUUUUAAUCGAAGUUUUGGAUCUAAUACUUAAUUUUCCAAGCCCAUCUGACACCUUAUAUUUAGAUUGGAUUCAGAUUCAGAUUAUGUAAGAACUAGCAAUUGAACCCCGAAUCGAACCUGUAACACCCCACAGUAGAGUUACCACUUUUGCCUUUUGAUACACUGAGGCAGGAAAUUGUUAAAGGGGCAAAUUGUAAAGCAAUAUGUAAUUCGUCUUCUAGCAGCAGCAGCAACAAACAACAACAAAAGAGAGAGAAAGGAAAAUAUAUCCACUUGAAACCACCAGAAAUCUUGCAGAGGUGAUCAAUGCUCAGUGAUUUAUAACAUUCCUCUGUAAGAUUUACCAUGUCACUCAAGAAAAAUAAUUGUUUCCACCAAAUAAAGCCUUCACUUAGGUAACUUACUCAACUCACAGGGGAAAAGGGAAAAAAAGAAAAGCAAAAAAACAAAAAACAAACUUCGGGUAUAACUUCAAUCCCUGUUAGGAAUUUCAUGCAACGUACCCCGGAAGAAGAGAAACCACUGCACUAUAAGGCUUACGGGUUAUCUCUGCCUUUUCUAAGCAUCCAAAGGUGCCAAGAAAAGAGAAAGAGAACCCUUGCAACCAGAAAACUACAAAUAUAUAUAGAUAUAUAUUUACAUGUAUAAUUAUUAAUUUGAAGUUUCGAUCAUUCAAAUCGACUUGAUAGGACAAGGGUCCCAAUCCUAUUAAUAGAAUAGUAGCCGGACCCUAUAUGUAUAUAUAUAUAUAUAUAUAUAUAUACUCUCCGAGGAAAAGCAAUAUAUAAUAGAUGAUUCCUAUAUAGCUAGGAUGAGAAAUCAUUCCCUUCCGGUAUGCUUUCCAAAGCAGGUCUCCACCCUUGCAUGCUUCUUUCCUUGUCUCUCUCACUUCCUUUGUUUGCUUCUUUGUGCAGCAGUGAGAUCAUAUCCUCGAGGGAGAUCACCUCUCUGCUCAACAUAGCCUUCAACUCUUGCUUACUCACAACCAGCUUUAUCCUCAGUUGGCCCCCUCCUCCCACACCGGCCGUCGGAUCAUGAUCACGACCACCUAAUUGGGCCAUGGGGACUUGAUGAUCACCACCACCCUCCAUCUUCGUUACGCUCGCCACCUUUCUCUCCUCAACUACAAAGCAAUUCCCCAUGCACGCAAAUUCUCUGUAAUAAUCAACUCCGUUUGUACAUAGGUUUAGAGGAAUUGUGUAGUGCAAGUUUUUCUUUUUUCUUUUUUCUUUUUUUGAGUUGCGUUGUUGGGUUGAGCCCUGAGAAGGGUGGUGGAAGGUAGAGGGAGGGUUGGUAUUUAAGAGAAGAGGGGUGAGAGAAAUGUCACCAUCUUUGUGAUAUUAUUGCAAGAAUGCCAUCGACAAAGUGCACUCCCGGGACCCACCGAUUUGCCUUUUGUUUAUUCUCCAUACAGUUUGGGUGGGUUGGUUAAGUAAAUGGGCUAAUUAUUAAUGUUAACCUAUGAUUCAUAACUUAAUUAGGCCGCUCCCUAGGCUAAUCAUUUUUUCUCUUUUCAUUUUAUCAACGGAAAAAUUAAUAACAAAACGAUCACUAGAAAAUUUUGAUUUACUUAUUGCUACGAAUGAGAUGUAUUAUAUAUACUUAUAAAAUUGGUUUGUAGAAAUUUCUGAUAUUUGUUUGAAAGCAUACAAUACUAUGUAGUUAUAAACGUGAUUUUCUCUCAAACUUUUAUUUAAUUCUUUAGCAGAAAUUAUUAAUACGUCUAACUAAAUCUGGGAGUAAUAUAAAAAAGAUAACAUAACAGUAAAUUAGCAGUUAACAUGGCUGCUAUAUUAUCUCAAAAUUAUUUGAGUUGAUUGUAAUAUUAUUCUUUGUUAGAAUUGGUCUAAUAAAUGCUGAUAAAAAAACACAGUUGAAACACAAAAUAAGAUUUAGCAUAAAAGCUUUAGAAAGUUAAAAUUCAGCAAUUGCAAUAAACUUUUACAAAAAGUCCAGUGACCAAUGAUGUAAAAAAUUCCCUACAUACAUUGAUUCAUACCAAAAAAAAAAAAAAAAACAAAAAAAAAAAAAAAAAAAAAAAAAAAAAAAAAAAAAAAAAAAAAAAAAAAAAAAAAAAAAAAAAAAAAACAG
rnacentral:lncRNA from 1 species